rnacentral:rRNA from 1 species
GUAGGUGGCAAGCGUUGUCCGGAAUUAUUGGGCGUAAAGCGCGCGCAGGCGGUUCUUUAAGUCUGAUGUGAAAGCCCACGGCUCGACCGUGGAGGGUCAUUGGAAACUGGAGAACUUGAGUACAGAAGAGGAAAGCGGAAUUCCACGUGUAGCGGUGAAAUGCGUAGAGAUGUGGAGGAACACCAGUGGCGAAGGCGGCUUUCUGGUCUGUAACUGACGCUGAGGCGUGAAAGCGUGGGGAGCAAACAGGAUUAGAUACCCUGGUAGUCCACGCCGUAAACGAUGAGUGCUAAGUGUUAGGGGGUUUCCGCCCCCCUUAGUGCUGCAGCUAACGCAUUAAGCACUCCGCCUGGGAGUACGGCCGCAAGGCUG